rnacentral:rRNA from 1 species
ACUCCUACGGGAGGCAGCAGUGGGGAAUAUUGCACAAUGGGCGCAAGCCUGAUGCAGCGACGCCGCGUGGGGGAUGAAGGCCUUCGGGUUGUAAACUCCUUUCGCUAGGGACGAAGCUUUUUUGUGACGGUACCUAGAUAAGAAGCACCGGCUAACUACGUGCCAGCAGCCGCGGUAAUACGUAGGGUGCGAGCGUUGUCCGGAAUUACUGGGCGUAAAGGGCUCGUAGGUGGUUUGUCGCGUCGUCUGUGAAAUUCUGGGGCUUAACUCCGGGCGUGCAGGCGAUACGGGCAUAACUUGAGUGCUGUAGGGGUAACUGGAAUUCCUGGUGUAGCGGUGAAAUGCGCAGAUAUCAGGAGGAACACCGAUGGCGAAGGCAGGUUACUGGGCAGUUACUGACGCUGAGGAGCGAAAGCAUGGGUAGCGAACAGGAUUAGAUACCCUUGUAGUCCCAUG